rnacentral:rRNA from 1 species
UACGUAGGGUGCAAGCGUUGUCCGGAAUUAUUGGGCGUAAAGAGCUCGUAGGCGGUCUGUCGCGUCUGCUGUGAAAACUCGGGGCUUAACCCCGGGCCUGCAGUGGGUACGGGCAGACUAGAGUGCGGUAGGGGAGACUGGAAUUCCUGGUGUAGCGGUGAAAUGCGCAGAUAUCAGGAGGAACACCGGUGGCGAAGGCGGGUCUCUGGGCCGUAACUGACGCUGAUGCGCGAAAGCUAGGGGAGCAAACGGG